rnacentral:rRNA from 1 species
UACGAAGGGGGCUAGCGUUGUUCGGAAUCACUGGGCGUAAAGCGCACGCAGUCGGGUCGUUAAGUCAGGGGUGAAAUCCCGAGGCUCAACCUCGGAACUGCCUUUGAUACUGGCGAUCUUUGAGUCCGGGAGAGGUGAGUGGAACUCCGAGUGUAGAGGUGAAAUUCGUAGAUAUUCGGAAGAACACCAGUGGCGAAGGCGGCUCACUGGCCCGGUACUGACGCUCAUGUGCGAAAGCGUGGGGAGCAAACAGG